rnacentral:lncRNA from 1 species
GAAGAUGGCCUGUUCCUGGUGGUGUUUAUAGAGGCCCGUCACAUUCCCCACCCCACCCCCGUCGUCCUGGCUUCAGAGAGGGCCAGAGCCAAGUUGACAGGCGGUCCCUGAGUCUUUGUUAAACUUGAGCUCAGAUGAACGUAGAAACACAAGAAGAGCCAAAUCAUAUGUUUAAACAGUUAAGAGGAAACCAGGCUCAGCAAGGAACGACAACCCUGGAUUUAGCCUGGGUGAAUUUUCCUUCUCUGGGAUUUCCUGUCCCUUUUCUGGAUGUUUCUAUCUAUCAAAAGUUCCCUGGCAGUUGGCUUAAGGUCAUCAACUCUGCGGUGAAAGAAAGCUUCACAGAAAACUUCAGCUUAGCUGCUAAAACAUCAACGGCUGCCGAAUGGUGUGGACCCCAAGCCAGGCUUAAACGACUCGAGCUCCGGCUUCUGUCGCUGCCCUCAGUGGAAAGAGAGCCCAAACUCGUACUGGGCUUAGGAACCACCCACAACAAUAAAGGCCAGCAGCUACCCCAGCUGCCUGGGGGGUGGGGACAGUGGGGCUGGUGGGCGGUGAGUCCUUAAGGAAUGUAAAAAAGAAGGAAGCUCCUGUGUGGGUAUGGAGGGGUGAGGAGCAGUGGAGACGGAGGGAGAGAAAAGAAAAAACACAAAGGAAUAUAGGCCGGAGAAGAUGGUGAGAGAAUGACAGCGACACAGUGAGACAGAAAGAGAGAACAAGCAAAGCACGGCGUCUAAAAAAUCCCCCAAAACCCCGACAAGUUGCUAACGUUUGUAAAUUUUGAGCGAUGGGCAGAAGGGGGUUUGUUACAUUAUUCGCUGUAUUUUUCUGUAUUUUUCUAAUUCACGUUUUCAAAAAAGGAACUGGGGGAAAAUGUCACCCAAAUGAAUAUUUUUAGUUCAAAAAUUUUGUGAACUUAGUUGUCAUCAUUCUAGGCAGCAACCACCCGGGAGAUUCGGUUUUCGGUGAUUCCAAAUUACCUUGAGGCACCUCAAGCUUCAGAAGAGGAAAAGGCAGGCAGGAGAGCGAGGAAGCUUGGGGGGGGG